rnacentral:rRNA from 1 species
GACGAACGCUGGCGGCGUGCUUAACACAUGCAAGUCGAACGGAAAGGCCCUGCUUGCCGGGUACUCGAGUGGCGAACGGGUGAGUAACACGUGGGUGAUCUGCCCUGCACUUCGGGAUAAGCCUGGGAAACUGGGUCUAAUACCGGAUAGGAGCCAUUUUUAGUGUGAUGGUUGGAAAGUUUUUUCGGUGUAGGAUGAGCUCGCGGCCUAUCAGCUUGUUGGUGGGGUAAUGGCCUACCAAGGCGGCGACGGGUAGCCGGCCUGGGAGGGUGGACGGCCACAUUGGGACAGGGGAAGCGCCCGGGCCCACUCGGGGGGGAGGGGGGGGGGAUUUUGCAAAAAGGGCCGAAGCCUUGAGGAAGGACGCCGGGUGGGGGAUGACGGCCUUCGGGUUGGAAACCCCUUUCGCUAGGGACGAAGCUUUUUGUGGGGGUACCAAGAAAAAAAGCCCCCGCUAAACACG